UUUUAGUUUAUUAAAAUUUUUGGUGUUUUAUUUUAUUUAAGUGCUAAGUGUGGUGAAUUGUUUUAUUUAAAUGUUGUUUAUUUUAUUUAGUUGUUGUUUGUUUUAUUUAAUUGUUUGUUAUUUUAUUUAAUUGUUAGAAUUGUUUGGUAUAAUCUUUUUGAGUUUAAAUGUGUUAAUUGUUUGUUUGAUUAUUUAUUUUUAAUAUGUGAAUAAUUGUGUAACUUGUUUAUUUUUCUAUUAGUGUUACAUUUUAAAUAAGUGUGACAAUUGAUGUGAUUAAAAUAGGUUAUUUUUAUUUUAUUUUUAAGUGUGUGCCGAAAUGUGUGUGUGUGUAUGUGAAUGUGUUUUAUUUUUCUUUUAUUAAUUUAUUUAGUUAUUGUUCCCAUUAUAGAAAAGGAAAGGGUAGUAUGAAUCUAGACCUAAUGUGAGUCUUGAGCAUUUUUCCUUUUAAUUAUGAAAAGAAAAGAAAAUAGAAAAGAAAAGAAAUAUAAGUUGUCAUCUUGUAGGAAAAGAUGACAAGGUUGAUUUUUGAUUUGGUUCACAUUAGGAUAAGGGUUUAGGUGAGGUGUAAGGAGAGGAAAUGAUGGGAUUUAGCUUAAAUUAUGGGAUAGGAAUUUGGCUUUUCACACUUGAGUCCUUUUCUUAAGGUUAGGUCACUAAAGGCUAUAAAUAGGAGAGUAUGGAAGCCUUGGCAUUCUUUUGCUUGUGGCUGCCAAAAUUAGAGAGAAGGAGAGAGAGAGAGAGGUGUGAAAGAGAGAGAAAGUGGAGGAGAAAGGAAGAAGAAGGAGGUCAUAGGUAUGGUUUUCUUAUGGUUCCAUAUUAUUUUUCUUUAGAUUAAGGUUUAUCUUCCCCAUCAUCUUAAGUCUUUUUUCUAUGUUCUUCUUCUUCAUGGGUUUCAAAAACCCUAGGAUAUUCAAGGGUGAUUAUCACUUGGGUGUUGAUCAAGUUGUGUUCUUGAUUUUACAAUCAAGAGAGGCUCGUUGAGAAGUUGUGGUUUUACUUAGCUUGGACCUGAGGUAGCAAAUAGGUUUCUCUGUGGCACGCGUGGUGAUGUGGGGAGUUCUGUCGUCCUGGUGUGUAUGAUGUGGGGCAUCCUAUGGACGAGAAACAAUCAACUUUAAACGCCAUUUUUAACAAUUUUAUGUUUAAUGGGAUUUUUCUUAAAAUUUGUCAGUGGGACUUAAACUUUUGUUUGUUUUAGAACUUUGCAUAAAACUGAUAUUUUCUUUUUAAACUUUUGUGCCCAAUUUGCAUGUUUUAAGCAAGACCCCACUGAAACCUUUAUAAUAAGUGUCUUUUCUAUUAUAAACCAUUGAAAAUGUGAAUGUUUUAUUAAGUACUA